rnacentral:rRNA from 1 species
AAAGGAAUUGACGGGGGCCCGCACAAGCGGUGGAGCAUGUGGUUUAAUUCGAUGCAACGCGAAGAACCUUACCAGGUCUUGACAUCCAGAGAACCUUGUGGAAACACGAGGGUGCCUUUUAGGAGCUCUGAGACAGGUGGUGCAUGGUUGUCGUCAGCUCGUGUCGUGAGAUGUUGGGUUAAGUCCCGCAACGAGCGCAACCCUUGCUAUUAGUUGCUAACAUUUUAAGAUGAGCACUCUAAUGGGACUGCCCGUGACAAGCGGGAGGAAGGUGGGGAUGACGUCAAAUCAUCAUGCCCUUUAUGAUCUGGGCUACACACGUGCUACAAUGGGUGGUACAGAGAGCAGCGAAGUCGCGAGGCGGAGCGAAUCUCAUAAAGCCACUCUCAGUUCGGAUUGCAGUCUGCAACUCGACUGCAUGAAGUCGGAAUCGCUAGUAAUCGCGAAUCAGCACGUCGCGGUGAAUGCGUUCCCGGGCCUUGCACACACCGCCCGU